GUGCUGGAAAGGGUUCACACCUAUAAUCCCAGCACUUAUGGGAGGCUGAGGUAGGAAGAUCGCUGGAACCCAGGAGUUCAAGACCAUCCUGGGUAAGAUAACAGCACCUCAGAGAAGAUUUGGAAAAUAAAUGAGCUGAUGAGAGCAAUUUUCUGCUUCCUGGGCCACCACAGUCUUCUUUGCUGUUUUUGAUUGAAACCAUUUUCAGAGAAGAAUCAACACCAAAGAUCAUCAAGCCAUGUAGCAAUUGAGAUAAAGACCUAACAUGAAGAAUUCUAUUCUGAGAUCCAGAAGAAAUGAAUCACAGACCCAGUUUGUUUCUUUUCACAUCUUUGUCAUACUGAAUACACAC